rnacentral:rRNA from 1 species
GAUGAACGCUGGCGGCGUGCCUAAUACAUGCAAGUCGAGCGAACGGACGAGAAGCUUGCUUCUCUGAUGUUAGCGGCGGACGGGUGAGUAACACGUGGAUAACCUACCUAUAAGACUGGGAUAACUUCGGGAAACCGGAGCUAAUACCGGAUGAUAUUUUGAACCGCAUGGUUCAAAAGUGAAAGACGGUCUUGCUGUCACUUAUAGAUGGAUCCGCGCUGCAUUAGCUAGUUGGUAAGGUAACGGCUUACCAAGGCAACGAUGCAUAGCCGACCUGAGAGGGGGAUCGGCCCCACUGGAACUGAGAAACGGUCCAGACUCCUAAGGGGGGCAGGAGGAGGGAAUCUUCCGAAAGGGGCGAAAGCCUGACGGAGCAACCCCGCGUGGGUGAUGAAGUUUUUCGGAUCGUAAACCUUUUUUAUUAGGGAAGAAAAAAUGUGUAAGUAACUGUGCCAAUCUUGACGGUACCAAAAAAAAAAGCCACGGCUAACUCCGG